AAGUCGUAACAAGGUUUCCGUAGGUGAACCUGCGGAAGGAUCAUUCACAAAUCUAAACACACGAUCCCCUGCCUCUUCAAGGGCUUGUUCCUGGAGGAACGCGGGGGUAUCUAAACACACGAAAUUAAGCACUCUUUUAGGGUGAGACGAAAAUGUUGACAACUAUGAGAAACUUUUAACAAUGGAUCUCUUGGCUCUU
rnacentral:misc_RNA from 1 species